UGCUUUUGUCUAGAGGUAGAGAGAUGUGGA
rnacentral:piRNA from 1 species